CGGGGUGUGGCUCAGGUGGUAGAGUGCUUGCUUCGGGAGCAAGAGGCCGUGGGUUCGAGUCCCGCCACUCCGACCA
rnacentral:tRNA from 1 species